rnacentral:lncRNA from 1 species
AGACCGGCCAGAUGAGGGGAUGAUGGAGUUGCCUGCUUGACUCGUUCCUGUACUUUUAUCCCAACAAAACAUGACACACACCGAGAUGUGAAAGCUGUCGACUUUUCUUUGUAAAUGUUUCUACCCAGGAAGACAUGAUUUCACCCACCAUGAAGCCUUCUGGAAGCACAUUCCUCUGACGCUGCAGCAGCGAAGGAAAGAUGGAAAAGAGAAGUUAUCAUUUCUUUCUCAAGAUCCUGGCCCCAUGAGCCUCAGUGUAGCCCUAGUUCCUGGGAUCAGCACCAACAGGCAGGGAGGAGAGGCUCUGGCGCCCUGCAGACAGCACCAGGUUCUUGGCAUCAGGAGCUGGAUACAGAGUCCCUGAUAAUCCCAGCCACAGAAUAUUUCAAACUCACCGACAUGUCCUCUAAAUAUCAGAUAUGAAAAGGCUUCCACUCUUGCACCUGUCUUGCUAUUAUUUUACAGAUGUGUUCUAAAAGCUAUAAAGACGGAAAUCAC